UACGGAGGGUGCGAGCGUUGCUCGGAAUCACUGGGCGUAAAGCGUACGCAGGCGGCCAUGUAAGUCGGGUGUGAAAGCCCGGGGCUCAACCCCGGAAUUGCGCCCGAGACUGCACGGCUUGAAUGCGGGAGAGGAUAGCGGAAUUCCUGGUGUAGAGGUGAAAUUCGUAGAUAUCAGGAGGAACACCUGUGGCGAAAGCGGCUAUCUGGCCCGACAUUGACGCUCAUGUACGAAAGCGCGGGGAGCAAACAGG
rnacentral:rRNA from 1 species